rnacentral:lncRNA from 1 species
UUGAUUUUUUUCCUCAUUGUUGUUGAGCCUGCGAUUUACAGCAAAUAUAGGCGAGACACUGGGUUCCGCGGAACCCUUACAAAUUUUAUUUAUACAUUUUAAUUUUAGGUGGAUAUUAUUUUAGCAUGACAAAUAUAAAUUUUACAAAAAGGAAUAAUCCAUUCUAUUAAAGGUAUGUCUUAGAAUAAUGAUGAUUGUGCGAUAUUCACAAAGUUCAUACAUGACAAAUAAUUUGUUUCUUCUUGAUAAUCUUCAUUUAAUAGUUUUUGCACAUGCUAUUGUAUGACAUGAAAUCCUCAAAAAUUUGGUGCAAUUUUUCUUUUUGUAUUUUUUAAUAACUCCAAAGAAAUUUUUAGCUUUCAUUCAUGAAUAUGUAUAGUACAAUUCCUUGUAAGGUUUCAAAGUAAGUUUCUCAUACUUCAAAAAACAGUCUGUCUAUGAUGUGCAGUAAACCGUCUAUCUCCAACGAACUAAAUGGGCAAACAACAUUAUAGAUAUUUAUUUAAAGAUGAUAUUUUUACUAGCACGCAUGAAAAGGCAGGGUAGUAAAACGAUUAUAUAAAUUAGGACCAAUUGUUAUGCAGUUUGUAUUUAUAUUGAAACAAAUUAUUUGAAAUAAAAAAAAAUAUGAAAUUGAAA